rnacentral:rRNA from 1 species
CAGUAGCCGCGGGAAUACGUAGGUGGCAAGCGUUGUCCGGAAUUAUUGGGCGUAAAGGGCUCGCAGGCGGUUUCUUAAGUCUGAUGUGAAAGCCCCCGGCUCAACCGGGGAGGGUCAUUGGAAACUGGGAAACUUGAGUGCAGAAGAGGAGAGUGGAAUUCCACGUGUAGCGGUGAAAUGCGUAGAGAUGUGGAGGAACACCAGUGGCGAAGGCGACUCUCUGGUCUGUAACUGACGCUGAGGAGCGAAAGCGUGGGGAGCGAACGGGAUUAGAUACCCGGGUAGUCCCUGUCUCUUAUAC